UACGUAGGGGGCCAGCGUUGUCCGAAGUUACUGGGCGUAAAGAGCGUGUAGGCGGGUCUUUAAGUGAGAGGUGAAAGGUUCAGGGCUCAACCCGAACACUGCCUUUCAUACUGGGGACCUUGAGGGCGGGAGAGGCGAGUGGAAUGGUCGGUGUAGCGGUGAAAUGCGUAGAUAUUGAUCGGAACACCCAUGGCGAAGGCAGCUCGCUGGCCCGCAUCUGACGCUGAGACGCGAAAGCGUGGGGAGCAAACAGG
rnacentral:rRNA from 1 species